rnacentral:rRNA from 1 species
AGAGAGAGACAUGCGCGCAUAUCAAUAAGCGGAGGAAAAGAAACUAACUAGGAUUCCCUCAGUAACGGCGAGUGAAGCGGGAAGAGCUCAAAUUUGAAAUCUUCAAGGUUCUACCUUGACGAAUUGUAGUUUAAAGAAGUGUUUUCUGUUGGAGUUUUGGUAAAAGUUCUUUGGAAUAGGACAUCAUAGAGGGUGAGAAUCCCGUAUUUGACCAUUAUUUCCAGCUUUGUGAUACACUUUCAAAGAGUCGGAUUGUUUGGGAAUGCAGUCCAAAAUGGGUGGUAAAUUUCAUCUAAAGCUAAAUACUGGCGAGAGACCGAUAGCGAACAAGUACCGUGAGGGAAAGAUGAAAAGAACUUUGAAAAGAGAGUUAAACAGUACGUGAAAUUGUCAAAAGGGAAGCGUUUGACACCAGUGUUGUUUUCUCGAAAAUCAAUUAAAAAAGGCAGGAUUUUGUGUUGUAUUGACUUUAUCAGCUUUCUGCACUCUUUUCUUGUCUUUUUUAAUGCACUUUUCGUUUAACAAGUCAACAUCAAUUUCUUUUGUUGUAAAAAGGGUCAUUGGAAGGUGGCUUUCUUUUCGGAGAAAGUGUUUAUAGCCUUUGGCCUCUGCAAUCGGAGAGAUUGAGGUCUGCAGCGUAGAUCCUUCGGGGUUAGAUACAUUUGUGCUAAGUUAUAGCCUUUCAUAGACAACUUGUUGACUAUGAUCAGUCAUGUAGCUUACUCGCUUAUGCUAUUUUACCUACGCUUAGGAUGUUGAUGUGAUACUGCGAGCA